rnacentral:lncRNA from 1 species
CUCGAACCCGCAACCUCAUGGUUCCUAGUCGGAUUCAUUAAUCACUGCACCACGACGGGAACUCCAGGAAUGCAGGCUAUUUUUGAAAUAUUGUUAUCCCAUGGAACUCGAAAUUUAUUUAUUUAUUUAUUUAGUCUUUUGUCCUUUUUAGGGCCACACCAGUGGUAUAUGGAGGUUCCCAGGCUAGGGGUCUAAUCGGAGCUGUUGCUGCCGGCCUGUACCAGAGCCACAGCAACACCAGAUCUGAGCCUCGUCUGUGACUUACACCACAGCUCACAGCAAGGCUGGAUCCUUAACCCACUGAGCAAGGUCAGGGAUGGAACCCGAAACCUCAUGGUUCCUAGUUGGAUUCAUUUCCAUUGCGCCAUGACAGGAACUCCCCAUGGAACUCAAAAUUUAAAAUGUCAUUUUUAUAUCUUUAAAGCUUUCAGAGAAAUUUAAAAGCAUCUUGAUAUUUCACAACAAGCUACUACCUUUCACAAUUACUUAUCUAAGUUAACAUUUUUUUUUUCUUAUUGAACAGCCAAAAAAAUUCAACUACAAGUUGGGUGUUAAAACAUAUGAUUGAAAAUACCAAGUAAGAACCCCAAUUUCAAGUAAUUAUGUUCAUUAAAACAGGCUCAUGUACCUCAUAAAUUGAAUUAAUAAUAAGCAAAUGAUAUAAAUUUGAAAAUUUUGAAUAAAGUGAUAUUAGUAAAAUUACCCUUUUAUCUGAUGAAUCCAUGUAUUUUUGCACAGUUGUUGCCUGGUAAGAAAUGGAUGGAAAGUGACUCUGCAGAAAUCCUAAGUGCAAGCAGACAAGGCAAGAACUUGGAGAGGUGAGAGGAAAUAAAAGAAAUGGUUUCACCCCUUGCUCUGAGGUGCUGGUGGGAAGAGAAUGUGAAGCCUCCUGCAGGAACAUGGAAGAUGGGUCCUGCGACAAGGAGGGAGAAAGGCUAUCAGGGUUAUCUCUGUCAACACCAGUGAUUUUAGAGAGAAUGACAAAUAUAGAAGAUGUGGAAGACAAGUACUGGACAUGUCCUGAUCAAGACAAAUAUUGAAAGGAACACAGAUGGGAAAAAAUUGAUCCUAACUGGAAGCUAUAUGGCUGCCAUGAAAAUUAAAUCCUGGUGAGUUUCUCAAUAUGUGAACUAUUGUACUCUUACAGAGAAAUCUAGGCACAGGCUAGGACUGAGAUUCAGGACAGAAAAAAUGACCCAUAAUAGUUUAAAACCAUGAAACAGACAGUGAUGGAUAAUUCAUCUAAUAAUCCAAUUCGCCAAGUGUUACAUACUUAAGUUCUAAGUAAAGGAACCACUGAACUAGAAUGGCAGUUAGAGGAAAUCCAAAAUUCUGAAAGUAGUAGGGGCCAAAAGGAAUUAAGGUCACCUGUCAAAAGGAAUGAUACUAAGAGUAAUGCUAGGAAUCUAGACUCACAUGAAUCCAGUGAUCACAAAACACAUCCUACUGGUAACAGAGAAAUACACCUAAAGAAUAAAUGUGGUCGGUUCUAUAAAAAUGCA